rnacentral:lncRNA from 1 species
GGCUUAGGAUAGUCGGUAAAUAGCUCAUUUCGUUGAGGGCUACAGUUGGACUUGCAUCUUCAAAAAUUGUAGGUUUACCGCUUUUGAUACUUUAGGUCGUUCGUGGGCCCACGUGUCACUAUAAAUUAAAUUUUAUACUUUGAUUAUCUGUAUUACAGUAUGUAUGAAUUUAUUUAGCUUUUACGUUACAAAAAUUAUUUACCAG